rnacentral:rRNA from 1 species
UGAGGAAUAUUGGUCAAUGGGCGCAAGCCUGACCCAGCCAUGCCGCGUGCAGGAAGACGGCCCUACGGGUUGUAAACUGCUUUUAAUAGGGAGUAAUGUUAGUUACGAGUAACUAAUUGCAAGUACCUAUAGAAUAAGGAUCGGCUAACUCCGUGCCAGCAGCCGCGGUAAUACGGAGGAUCCAAGCGUUAUCCGGAUUUAUUGGGUUUAAAGGGUGCGCAGGCGGACUAAUAAGUCAGUGGUGAAAUCUACAUGCUUAACAUGUAAUGUGCCAUUGAUACUGUUAGACUAGUAUGCAAAUGACGUAGCUGGAAUGUGUUAUGUAGCGGUGAAAUGCUUAGAUAUAACACAGAACACCGAUCGUGAAGACAGGUUACGAAUUUGUUAUAGACGCUCAUGCACGAAAGCGUGGGGAUCAAACA